rnacentral:rRNA from 1 species
GAUGAACGCUGGCGGCGUGCCUAAUACAUGCAAGUCGAGCGAACAGACGAGGAGCUUGCUCCUCUGACGUUAGCGGCGGACGGGUGAGUAACACGUGGAUAACCUACCUAUAAGACUGGGAUAACUUCGGGAAACCGGAGCUAAUACCGGAUAAUAUAUUGAACCGCAUGGUUCAAUAGUGAAAGACGGUUUUGCUGUCACUUAUAGAUGGAUCCGCGCCGCAUUAGCUAGUUGGUAAGGUAACGGCUUACCAAGGCAACGAUGCGUAGCCGACCUGAGAGGGUGAUCGGCCACACCGGAACUGAGACACGGUCCAGACUCCUACGGGAGGCAGCAGUAGGGAAUCUUCCGCAAUGGGCGAAAGCUUGACGGAGCAACGCCGCGUGAGUGAUGAAGGUCUUCGGAUCGUAAAACUCUGUUAUUAGGGAAGAACAAAUGUGUAAGUAACUAUGCACGUCCUGACGGUACCUAAUCAGAAAGCCACGGCUAACUACGUG